UACGAAGGGUGCAAGCGUUACUCGGAAUUACUGGGCGUAAAGCGUGCGCAGGCGGUGAGCUGUGUCCGAUGUGAAAGCCCCGGGCUUAACCUGGGAAUGGCAUUGGAAACUGGCUUGCUCGAGUGUGGCAGAGGGGGGUGGAAUUCCGCGUGUAGCAGUGAAAUGCGUAGAGAUGCGGAGGAACACCGAUGGCGAAGGCAGCCCCCUGGGCUAACACUGACGCUCAGGCACGAAAGCGUGGGGAGCAAACAGG
rnacentral:rRNA from 1 species